CAGUGGAGGUGGUUAAAGAUAGUAGAUCUUGCCUUCCUGCAUUGACAGCGAAGCAGAUCGGAAACAAAGCCUUGCCUCUAGCGGUUGCAGUGGAGCUAGUUAAAGAUGACAGAUCUUAUCUCCCUAAGCACUAGCGGAGUAGAUCGAAGACGGUGAAUCUUAUCUUCCCUAGGAGUAGGGAAAUAGAUUUAAGCCACAAGUCCUAUGCCCCUGACGAGUAGUGGAAUAGGUUGGAAACUACAGAUCUU
rnacentral:lncRNA from 1 species